UAUAUAUAAAAUCCUGUAGAUCUGAGUUCACCAAUUAUUGCUGUUAAUGCUACUGUUUUGUGGGAAAAUUGUGCCAGCAAUUUUUUGUUGUUCUUAUUUUGUGAUAAAUAUAGAAUUGUGAUAACCUCUUUUCAUAUAUUCAAAAAGAUCUCUUUCACAGGGUAAAAAAUACCAAAAUUGACCCUUUCAAACAGAUUUAUUAUCAAUUAAUCAAACUUUAAACUCAACAACUAUAAUCCUCUUUCAGGAUAAUGAGAGGAAUUUAAAGCUUUUACUUAAAUCAUUUCCAUAUUUACAAAAAGAUGGCUGAAUAAGAUAAACUGAUUUUUCACUUUAUACAUUAAGGGAGUUUGCUUCUCAGUUUCAAAAUAAUUAGCUUUUCAAAACACUAGUUUAUAUUGAUAGGGGAUUAAUAAAGGAAUCAAAAGAGCAAAAAAACUAUAUAGGUCAAUGUGCUUGUUUUUGAAUAUUUGAAAUUUUGGUGGGAAAAUGUUGUCUCUUGACUUUUUAUAGUUUAGUCAUUGACAAGUUUAAGUUCUCAAAAACUAUUAAAAAAUAAUUAAAAUUCUGUAAGACUAUUACAGAUGGCUUAUAAUUAAAUAUGUAAAAGAUUUAUAAAAAGAAAUGAUGGGGGUCAAUGGGCAAUUUAUUUAAUGCAUUCAAAUUGAUAAAACCAGAGGAUUUCGAAAAUCUGACAAGAAUUCCAAAACAUGACAAGCAAACCUCCUUAAAAUCUCUGUUGAAAUGUACCAACAUAUGCAUGAUGAAUAUAUGGAGAGUUGUCUCAUUGGCACUUAUUACACAUCUUCUUAUAUCAGUAUGUGAAUAAUUUACAUAUUGUUAUGUUAGGAACUUUUAUAGCUUGAAAUGAGAUAAGUUUUAUCAUUUUUGUCAUUUUUACACCCUAUAGUUGCCGACUGCUAUGUAAUUUGGUCUCUUGUGGAUUUUUGUCUCAUUAACAAUCAUAACACAUCUCCAUAUUUCAUAAGACCUUUUUAAAUGAACACAUGAAAGGAUACCCAAAAAAUUUGAUGAUCUACCUUUAAAAUGAUUAUAUAACUUCAUGGGCAUAUGAUCUCAAAGUAAGUAAAGUUAUAAAUAUCUGAUCAGUCAUUUAGAUGUUGUGCUGGCCAGAGACUAUCAACACUUAUAUUGCAAAGUUGAAAUAUUUCAGUUUGAUUAAUUUUCUCCCCUGUAAUAUACAUGCAGUUACUAGCAAUAGCCUGUUUAUCAACUAACAAAAGAAUAUCCUAACUCUUAAAAUUCAUUAUCUCCCUAUGUUAGACCAGUUUAAUAUUCCUUAAUGCAAUUUCUCAUGUUGUAUUUUACAACUGUGUUAAAUUUCAUCAUUAUCCAUCUAUCCAUUUUGGACAAGUUGAGCUGAAAAUGCAGACAGCUAGACUGACAGGGGUUUUUUAUGUUUGAGAGAAUGAAUUUAAAAAUGCAUAUAAAUUUUUUGAAAGUAUAAGAACUAUUCAAACAUAUCAUAAGGGUGUCCUAAAGAGGAAAACUGUCACACUCAUGGUGCCUCUUAUUAAGGGGUUAUCCUGUCAUUUUCAAAAGCAGGUACUAAUUAAAUAUGUAUAUUUUUUAGAAUGUUUGUUAUUGAUACUUGUGUUAUAUAUAUAUAUAUAGAUGUUUAUGAGUGAUUUUUAGUGUACAUAUUGUUAACAAAUGAUUAUAAGUAUGAUUCAUCGUAUUUAUUGUGAAUAAAACAGUAAAUGACAAUUAAUACCUCCAACUUUUUUAUGGAUAAGGGGAUUAGAUAAUUUUAGAUAAUUUUAUGAAUCAUCAAAGCAGCAGAGGACAGACGAAAUAAAGUUUUUGAGGACUAUUUUAAAUUAGCACAUGAUUAUUAGUAAUACACAAGUACAAGAAAUAUAAAUGAAUUGAAUUUAGGGAUUUUUUCUUUUGUCUGAAAAAAAUAUGUAUAUUCAUAUUAUAAUUUUAAAUUGUAAACACUAUAAAUGAGUUACAAAUCUUAAUUUAUAUUCUGU
rnacentral:lncRNA from 1 species